AACGGCGAGCGAAAAGGGAUGAGCCCAGUAUGAAAAUCACUAGCUUGCUGGUGAAUUGUAGUCUGCAGUGGCAACUCCUGGGUGGCGCGCGGCCGAAGCAUCUUGGAACAGAUCGCCGCAGAGGGUGAGAGUCCCGUAGGCCAAGCAAAGCCCUUCACGGAGUGCUCACGGAGAGUCGGGUUGUUUGGGAAUGCAGCCCCAAUUGGGUGGUAAACCCCAUCUAAGGCUAAAUACCGGUGGGAGACCGAUAGCAAAAAAGUACCUCGAGGGAACGAUGAAAAGACCGCUGGCAAGCGAGUGAAAGAGUGCAUGAAAUUGUACAGUGGGAAGGGAUGGCCUGGCGUGCUGCGCCCGAGUAUNCCCGGCUCGUGGAGCCGGUG
rnacentral:rRNA from 1 species